rnacentral:rRNA from 1 species
UGCGUAGGCGGAAUGAUAAGUUAGUGGUGAAAGCCCCCGGCUCAACCGGGGAACUGCCAUUAAUACUGUCAUUCUUGAGUAUAGUUGAAGUGGGCGGAGUGUAUCAUGUAGCGGUGAAAUGCUUAGAUAUGAUACAGAACACCGAUAGCGUAGGCAGCUUGCUAAACUAUAACUGACGCUCAGGCACGAAAGCGUGGGGAGCAAACAGGAUUAGAUACCCUGGUAGUCC